AUUGAACGCUGGCGGCAGGCCUAACACAUGCAAGUCGAACGAGUGGCGGACGGGUGAGUAAUGUCUGGGUAACUGCCCGACGGAGCGGGAGAACUACUGGAAAAGGAAGCCAAUACCCCACACCAGCGGCUGUGUCCAGAUGUGAUGUGCUAGUGGGUUGGGUAACGGCUCACCUAGCCGACGCUCCCUCGCUGGUCUGAGGGGAUGACCAGCCACACUGGAACUGAAACACGGUCCAGACUCCUACGGGAGGCAGCAGUGGGGAAUAUUGCACAAUGGGCGAAAGCCUGAUGCAGCCAUGCCGCGUGUGUGAAGAAGGCCUUCGGGUUGUAAAGUACUUUCAGCGAGAAGGCGUUACUCACAGAAGAAGCACCGGCUAACUCCGUGCCAGCAGCCGCGGUAAUAC
rnacentral:rRNA from 1 species